GACGAACGCUGGCGGCGUGCUUAACACAUGCAAGUCGAACGGAAAGGCCCUGCUUUUGUGGGGUGGUCGACUGGAGAACGGGUGAGUAACACGUGAGUACCCUGUCCCUCACUUUGGGGUAACUUCAGGCAACUGGGUCUCUUCCCGCCAAGGAUCUCUUGCCUCAUGGUGGGGGUUGGAAAGAUUCGGUGGUUGGGGGUGGACUCGCGUCCUAUCGGCUUGUUGGUGGGGUAGUGUCUGAGCAAGGCUUGGAGGGGUGGCCGGCCUGAGAGGGCGACCGGCCACAUUGCGCCUGAGAUACGGCCCAGACUCCAAUGGGACGCAGCGGAGGGGAAUAUUGCACAAUGGGCGGAAGCCUGAUGUAACCACGCCGCGUGCGGUAAGAGGGGCUUGGGGUUGUAAACCGCUGUCGUCUGUGACGAGGCGAGAGUGACGGUACCGGGUAAAGAAGCACCGGCUAACUACGUG
rnacentral:rRNA from 1 species